UAAAAUAAUUAAGGGCACACAAAGGAUGCCUAGGUAGUAAGAGCCGAUGAAGGACGUGGUAAGCUGCGAUAAGCCUAGAUAAGUUGCAAUCGAACGUAAGAGUCUAGGAUUUCCGAAUGGAGCAAUCUAUUAAGAUGGAGUCUUAAUACGAAAGAGGGAACCGCGUGAACUGAAACAUCUAAGUAACGCGAGGAAAAGAAAGUAAAAACGAUACCCAAAGUAGCGGCGAGCGAACUGGGUCAAGCCUAAACCUUAAAUAUGUCAAGGAUACAGCCGUUGUAUUUAAGGGGUUGAGGGACAAAGUAGUGAAGAACUGUAAGAUAUUCAAUAUAGUGUAUUGAUGAAUUAGAAUUGUAUGGAAAGAUAAACCGUAGAAGGUGAGAGUCCUGUAUAAGUAAAUCCUUACACAUAUAACUUUGCUCCCAAGUAACAUGGAACACGAGGAAUUCUGUGUGAAUCAGUGAGGACCAUAUCUCAUAAGGCUAAAUACUCUUACUAACCGAUAGCGCAUAGUACCGUGAGGGAAAGGUGAAAAGAACCCCUGGAGGGGAGUGAAAUAGAACCUGAAAUUGUGUGCUUACAAGCGGUCAGAGCCCAUUUGGGUGAUGGCGUGCCUUUUGGAGAAUGAUCCUGCGAGUUACGUUAAACGGCGAGGUUAAGUAUAACGGAGCCGAAGGGAAACCAAGUCUUAAUAGGGCGAUAUAGUCGUUUGGCGUAGACGCGAAACCUGGUGAUCUAAACCUGUCCAGGAUGAAGCUGUGGUAAGACACAGUGGAGGUCCUAACCCACCGCCGUUGAAAAGUUGGGGGAUGAGGUAGGUUUAGGGGUGAAAAGCCAAUCGAACCAGGAGAUAGCUCGUUCUCUCCGAAAUGCAUCUAGGUGCAGCCUUGAGUGUUCAAUUAUGGGGGUAGAGCACUGAAUGAUCUAGGGGGCAUAUUGCUUACUGAAAUCAAUCAAACUCCAAAUACCAUAAUUUAUAGCUCAGGAGUGAGACCAUGGGAGUUAACUUCCAUUGUCAAAAGGGAAACAACCCAGACCACCAGCUAAGGUCCCUAAUUAUAACUAAGUGGGAAAGGAGGUGGAGAUUCACAAACAACUAGGAGGUUGGCUUAGAAGCAGCCAUACCUUUAAAGAGUGCGUAAUAGCUCACUAGUCGAGAGUCUCUGCGCCGACAAUGUAACGGGGCUAAGUUAUAAACCGAAGCUGUGGAAUCCUUAUGGAUUGGUAGGAGAGCGUUCUGUAGGCCGUUGAAGAAGAAGGGUAACCAACUUUGGAGGUAUCAGAAGUGAGAAUGCAGGAAUAAGUAGCGAGAAAGGGGGCGAGAAUCCCCCUCGCCGGAAGACCAAGGUUUUCAGGGUAAAGCUUGUCUUCCCUGAGUAAGCCGGGACCUAAGCCCAGGCUAUAAUGCGUAGGCGAAUGGAAAACAGAUUAAUAUUUCUGUGCCAGUCAUUUAUUGUGAUGGAGGGACGCAGAAGGGUAUGUGCGCGGACGAUCGGUUGUGUCCGUAGAAGUAUGUAGGGUGACUUAGUAGGUAAAUCCAUUAAGUUAUAUCUGAGGUAUGAUAUACAGUCGUAAGAUGAAUGUGCAAAUCCCACGCUGCCAAGAAAAGCUUCUAACGUUAAUAUAUGACUGCCCGUACUGUAAACCGACACAGGUGGUCAGGAUGAGAAAUCUAAGGCGGACAGGCUAACUCUCGUUAAGGAACUCUGCAAAAUAACCUCGUAACUUCGGGAGAAGAGGAGCCCUUGUGUGUGAGUAUACAUGCGAUACAAAGCGCACGAGGGUCGCAGUGAAGAGGCUCAAGCAACUGUUUAACAAAAACACAGGUCUAUGCUAAGCUGUAAGGCGAUGUAUAUGGGCUGACACCUGCCCAGUGCUGGAAGGUUAAGAGGAGGAGUGAGAGCUCCGAAUUGAAGCCCCAGUGAACGGCGGCCGUAACUAUAACGGUCCUAAGGUAGCGAAAUUCCUUGUCGGGUAAG
rnacentral:rRNA from 1 species